CUUAGGAGGCUACUGGGUAGCUCAGGCCAGAGAUGAUGGUGGUUCAGACCUCAGAGAUGGGGCAGAUGAAAAGUGGUCCUAUUAGAGACAACAGAAAUCACUGAGAAACUACGUGAGAGAAAGAGACAUCAAGAAAGGCUCCUGCUGUAAGGCCAAGCCUGGAGGACUUAGUUGAAGAAAGAAAGUCUGGAGGUGUGCCCUGGAAAGGGUUGUUUCUCCUUUGGGUCAUGGGAGAAGAUGUGUCUCCAAAGAAGAGUCCAAGAAAUUCCCCUAGAGAAAGGGAAGCUCAACUCAGGAUCACUGG